UGCCCAAUCCCUGCGGGCCUCUUCGCUCCCGUCCCCCCUCUCCUCCCCUCCCGUCACACGGCCGCCGCCGCUCCCCUCCCCUUCCAACCUCCUGCUCCGACCCCGCAGAGGGCGCGUCCAUGGCCGGAGCGGAGGAGGAGAUCCAGGCGGAGCGCGCCAUCUCCAUCGCCAUGGCCCCCGGCCUUCGUCGAGCCGCUCGUCAUCUUCCUCGUCCUCGUCGUCAACGCCGCCAUCGGCGUCUGGCAGGUGGACUCCGGCGGCUCGUCUCCGUCUUCUUCCUCGUCCCCACGCGCGGCUCCACUUCCCGUUGGCCAUGGGGUUCAGCCUUAAGGGGCACAUCGGGCUGGGCAUCCUCUGUUUCUGAGUGCACGGGGCGGUUCGAGGCGCACUUGUGGAACAAGAACACAUGCACAGAGCCGCAGAGGAAGAAGAAAGGGAGGCAAGUUUAUUUCGGGGCAUAUGGCGGCGAGGAAGCCAACUGUUACAAUCAUAUUUAAGUUUUGAUUUCUGUUGGUUGUCCAUGAUUCAUUUGUGGUCAUUUUCUUGUUAGAUGGUUGAUUCAGAUGUGGUUUUAUUUGCAGGGAGGGGUCACUGCUUGUUAGUUUGUUCUAGGUUACUGCUUAUUAGUUUGGUCAUGGUGCUUGUUAGUUUACUAUUCGGUGGUCCUUUGUAUGCACCAUUCAGAUAUUUUGUUCUUAUUUUUUUGUUAACUUUCUUUUAGUUCGGGGCCUCUCUUGCUGCCUCCACUUCAUGUGGUACAGUAUAUCUCCAACUAUUCUCUCUCCUGUUUCAUAUUUAUUUUGCUCUAGCCAUGUGUGUAGCCUGAUAAGUAUAAAGCGUCCUCACCAUCGUAAGCCUUCACUUAUGGAUUGAUUCUAGGAAUAUGCACAAACUAAAUUCAGAUUCAGAGUAAGUACUGAAUCGGAGUGAGUUCUCCCUUUCUGGGACUUAGUCUUCUGUCAUGUGAUUUUAUCUUGAAAGAACAGAAAAAAUUAUUCCAUGUGAGAGAAAUAGCCCGGUGAUGUGUGAUUCAUCGACUGAACAUCUGUUAGAACAGUUGGCUAGAUUUCUUUUCCGCUUAGCUACAACAUUAGUUCGAUUUGUCCCUUAUUGUGAAAAACAAAGGGUUUGGUUUCUUUGUGUUGGAUUGGUGCUUCUGAAAGAGAAUGGGGAAGAAUGGCCUGUUCAUUGGCCUCUAUUGUUCGAUUUGGUCUCCCUAACUUAUUAUGAUGGUGUCAGUGCUGGCUUGUUUUUGUUCAUCCUUGCUUAUAUUCAUGUGUCUUAGUAGUUAGAUAGCUCAUAUGGUUUUGGUCAGGAAGAGUGUUGGAUUUGGGCUCGCUGGGCUAUUAUGAUGGUGUCAGUCUGGUUUACAUUGUUGGUUAGAGAGAGAAUUUGAGAUUUUGUGCCUGAGGUGUUUACUGUCCGGUUAAUGAUAGUGCCUUCUGAUGGAGUGUGUCCGCUGUUGUCGCUCUUGGAUAGUCAGUAUGAUGUUAAUUUAGCUUUCGACUGUGUAGGUUUGUCAGGCACGAUAAAAUUUUGAAUGUUUGAAUCAUAUCAGCAAGAACUUGGAGAUGCUUAUUUUCUCCAUGGGGUCUUUCAGAAACGUAAAAACAACAUGACAAAGUCUGGUGAAACACUAGGUUCAGUUAAUGAGUCUAUUGCUGGAAAGGAGAAGACACCACAACUUAGCACUGACAUUCAGAAAGAUAACUUAACAUUGCCUGGUGAGACGUCAGAUGCAAAUAGCACUCGACAUUUCUUUACUUAUACCCAGGUGCUUUGCUUGCAUUGCAAAACUGCUACAUUCAGCGUGGCAUUUUGAGUUCUGAACCAUCCAUGCCUACUGAUGCUCGAAGCAAUCCGAGCAAGCAGGUCAGGAAGAAGUAGAAACAUAGCAUGGGAGGCGAGGCGUCUUUUGGAGAUCCAAGACUCUUGGUUGACGUUGCUGUAAAUGGAUGAUUUCCUAUCAAUAUGCCUGUACGAGCGAGUCCCCUGCUUGAGCUUCGUUCGCAGGCACUCACCACCACAUCACUUGGUUGCUUAUGGGCAACAAUGGCUGCUAUCAGUCAUGUUGCUGUCCAGUUGGACUACCAAGCUACUUGGAUAUAAACCGUCCUUUUGUCAGGUUCAGAUGAUUUAGAUUCAUUUUUUUCUUGUCUCGUUUCUUGGUUAAAAUAUGUAUACUAUUCUGUGUUGAGUCCUUGUCACACUGGGGAACGGGGCCCCAUUAGGGUCCCCAUCCCCAUAAACAAAUACUCAUAUACAUAAUAUGACACCCUAUAAUUAACAUA